ACAGCGUGUCACACAUGUGAUGUCAUAACCAUUGUCCACCAAAGAGCAGCACUGAGCAGAAAUAACACUGCUCCUGUUCAUUCUCCAUCAGUGAGGGGCCGGUGCUGGACACUGUGUAGGGACGCGGGAAUGCAAAGUCAUACACAUGACUGUGACUGAUGCACUAUCUCCAGGACAUGGAGUAGCAUUUCCGGACCUACAGCAAGACGUUGGAUGAAGGCAUAGCCCCAGAAAUAACACUGGUCCUGUUCAUCAGUGAGGGGCCGGUGCUGGACACUGUGUAGGGACACGGGAAUGCAAAGUCAUGCACAUGACUGUGACUGAUGCACUAUUUCCAGGACAUGGAGUAGCAUUUCGGGACCUACAGCAAGACGUUGGAUGAAGGCACAGGCCUAGGAAUCAUGCACAUACACAGAAACAUUUGCCCAAAUUCUAGAGGUAACCUCCUUUAGUAUGCCCAGAGGAAGGGCCAUACAGUAG